rnacentral:rRNA from 1 species
AAUCAACGCUGGCGGCGUGCCUCAGACAUGCAAGUCGAACGCGAAAUUUCCCUUCGGGGAGAAAGUAGAGUGGCGCACGGGUGAGUAACACGUGGGUAAUUUACCUUCGGGUGGGGAAUAACGUCUCGAAAGAGACGCUAAUACCGCAUGAUGCAGCGGCACCACAUGGUGACAGUUGUUAAAGCGGGGGAGUCGCAAGACCUCGCGCCUGAAGAGAAGCCCGCGGCAGAUUAGCUAGUUGGUAAGGUAAUGGCUUACCAAGGCAACGAUCUGUAGCCGGCCUGAGAGGGCGGUCGGCCACACUGACACUGAAUAACGGGUCAGACUCCUACGGGAGGCAGCAGUC